GUCCGUGCUCUGCCAUCUUGCCCAGGAAGCCCUCCAGGCCCCCCAUCAAAGCCAGCCUGUCUGCUGAUGUGGUCACGGUCCCAAAGGAGACCACAGCCGGGGGGACCGGCCCCAGAGUCAGGAGAUAAGGGCCACCUGACAAGGACAGGCAAGGAGCUGCUGCGGAGGAGCGUGAAGAGCCCUAACCCCAGGGGUAACCUUGGACAAAGUACUCCAUCUCCCCAGGCCUCGGCUUCCUCAUCUGAAAAAUGAAGACGGUGAUCCCGACUCGAGGAUGACAGCAAUUGAUAUGGACUCACACUGUCGACAGAUGUGCACUAAGAACUUACUGCGAGUCAGGCGCUGGCUACCAGUGGUUACCAGGACAGAUACAGCCUGUCUCACCGAGCCUACACUCCAGAGGGUGAGACACACACCAGACAAAGGUGAUCAGGCCUGGAGUAGGAGUGUUCCAAAUGACAAGACUAAGGCUCCCAAGAAUCCUUGCUGGAGUAAAGGAUGUCCCAGCUUCUGGAUGCAGGAGAAGAUGGGAUCACUGCUGCUAGAGUCCACUGCUCUUUCCUGACUCACAAAGGAAAUAGUUUCUCGGUUCCGAGAAUAACAAAUACGAUACGCCCUAGAGGAGGGUGAAUGUAAAGUAAAACCAUGUUCCAAGAGAAUAAAAGCCCUUGUUCAAAGCACCAACUUUGAAAAAACAAAAAAGGGACCAAUUUUGAAAGAAAGGUGUGUGUGUGUGUGUGUGUGUGUGUGUGUGUGUGGUGGGGGUGGGCGUGUGAAGAUAGGGACGAGAGAAAAGGAACACAAACAAACUGGGAAAUGGAAAAAGAAGAGGAUCGGUGGGGCCUCCAAGGCCAGGCAGAUGCUGGAGGACUUCCCAUGUGAUCUCAUGUAAUUAUCCAAGAUCAUCUCCAUUUACAGAUGAUGGACCCGAGGCCGAGGAGGUUAAAUCAACUG